rnacentral:rRNA from 2 species
UGGGGGAUAUUGCACAAUGGGCGAAAGCCUGAUGCAGCGACGCCGCGUGGGGGAUGAAGGCUUUCGGGUUGUAAACCUCUUUCGCUAUCGAACAAGGCCCGCUUAGGGUGGGUUGAGGGUAGGUGGAGAAGAAGCGCCGGCUAACUACGUGCCAGCAGCCGCGGUAAUACGUAGGGCGCGAGCGUUGUCCGGAAUUAUUGGGCGUAAAGGGCUUGUAGGCGGCUUGUUGCGCCUGCUGUGAAAACGCGGGGCUUAACUUCGCGCGUGCAGUGGGUACGGGCAGGCUUGAGUGUGGUAGGGGUGACUGGAAUUCCAGGUGUAGCGGUGGAAUGCGCAGAUAUCUGGAGGAACACCGAUGGCGAAGGCAGGUCACUGGGCCAUUACUGACGCUGAGGAGCGAAAGCAGGGGUAGCGAACAGG